rnacentral:rRNA from 1 species
AUUGAACGCUGGCGGCAGGCCUAACACAUGCAAGUCGAACGGAAGGCGGACGGGUGGGUAAGGUAUGGGCACCUGACUGAUGGAGGGGGACGAGUACGGGAAACGGUUGCCAAUAACGCAUACAAUGGGAUGUGCCCAGAUGGGAUUAGGUAGUAGGUGGGGUAACGGCUCACCUAGGCGACGAUCCCUAGCUGGUCUGAGAGGAUGACCAGCCACACGGGGACUGAGACACGGCCCAGACUCCUACGGGAGGCAGCAGUGGGGAAUAUUGGACAAUGGGCGCAAGCCUGAGGCAGCCAUGCCGCGUGUAUGAAGAAGGCCUUCGGGUUGUAAAGCACUUUCGGCAGGGAGGCGUUACCCGCAGAAGAAGCACCGGCUAACUACGUGCCAGCAGCCGCGGUAAUAC